rnacentral:rRNA from 1 species
AUACGGAGGCUCCGAGCGUUAUCCGGAUUUAUUGGGUUUAAAGGGAGCGCAGGCGGAGAUGCAAGCGUGACGUCAAAUUUCGGGGCUCAACCCCGUCUCGCGUCGCGAACUGCGUCCCUUGGUUGCGGGAAGGGGAGGCGGAACUCGCGGUGUAGCGGUGAAAUGCAUAGAUAUCCCGAAGAACUCCGAUGGCGAAGGCAGCCUUCCGGCCCGUCAACGACGCUCAUGCUCGAAGGUGCGGGUAUCAAACAGGAUUAGAUACCCUGGUAGUCCGCACAGUAAACGAUGGACACCCGCGGUUUGGCCUAUAUGGCUGAGCCGCCAAGCGAAAGCGUUAAGUGUCCCACCUGGGGAGUACGCCGGCAACGGUGAAACUCAAAGGAAUUGACGGGG